rnacentral:sRNA from 2 species
CGCCCGUCAAACCAUGGGAGCUGGUAAUGCCCGAAGUCGGUUUAAUUACAAACUGCCUAAGGCAGGACUGGUGACUGGGGUUAAGUCGUAACAAGGUAUCCCUACGAGAACGUGGGGAUGGAUUACCUCCUUUCUACGGAGUACAUUAGUUAAUUUAUUUAAUCAUUGGGACUAAAAUUAACCUUUAAGCCUGUUAUUUUAAUAUUGUCAUGACUUGGUUUAAGGCUCUGAGUGAUAUAUCUAGUUUUGAGAGAACAUUCUCUCAAUUGUUCUUUGAAAACUGAAUAGUAAAUUAUUUUGAUAAUAUUUACAACGACAUCUAAACAAAUAAAUUUGUCAAUUUGUUUUGAUCAUCGAGUAAUCAUAUAUUUUAUGAUUUAUUGAAAUGUUUUAAAAUACACAUCAUUAACCAAAUAGGAACAUACUUUUAAAUAAUAAAGAGUUUGUGGUGGAUGCCUUGGGUCUGAAAGUCGAUGAAGGACGUGAUUACCUGCGAUAAGCCUCGUUGAGCCGGAUAUAUGCUAUGAAACGGGGAUUUCCGAAUGGGGAAACCUAAUUGGGGUAAUGCCUAAUUGCCAUUUUUUGAAUCCAUAGAAAAAUGAGUGAGACACCUUGCGAACUGAAACAUCUUAGUAGCAAGAGGAAAAGAAAAUAAAUUUAAUGAUUUCUUUAGUAGCGGCGAGCGAAAGAGAAAGAGCCCAAACCAUUUUAAUGGGGUUGUAGGACGAACUAUGUAGAGUUAUAAAAUUAAACGAUAGCAGAAGCUUUUGGGAAGAAGCGACAUAGAGGGUGAUAUCCCCGUAUGCGAAAUUGUUUAAUCUCUUGGUCGUAUCCUGAGUAGGGCGGGGCACGUGAAACCCUGUCUGAAUCUGCCGGGACCACCCGGUAAGGCUAAAUACUAAUCAGACACCGAUAGUGGAAUA